CUUCAUUUGGUUGCUCCAGAUUUGCAUUGGUAUUUGGCACAAGUUUUUACGCCAGAUGCCCUUCCUGAGACAGCUCCAGUUUUACCUGGAGAAACACAUACAGCCACUGGUGUUCUGAAGAGGUCCCCCAUCCAAGUACUCACCAG